rnacentral:rRNA from 1 species
UUGAACGCUGGCGGCAUGCCUUACACAUGCAAGUCGAACGGCAGCACGGGGGCAACCCUGGUGGCGAGUGGCGAACGGGUGAGUAAUACAUCGGAACGUGCCCUGAAGUGGGGGAUAACGUAGCGAAAGUUACGCUAAUACCGCAUACGACCUGAGGGUGAAAGCGGGGGAUCGCAAGACCUCGCGCGAUAGGAGCGGCCGAUAUCGGAUUAGCUAGUUGGUGAGGUAAAGGCUCACCAAGGCGACGAUCCGUAGCUGGUCUGAGAGGACGACCAGCCACACUGGAACUGAGACACGGUCCAGACUCCUACGGGAGGCAGCAGUGGGGAAUUUUGGACAAUGGGGGAAACCCUGAUCCAGCCAUUCCGCGUGAGUGAAGAAGGCCUUCGGGUUGUAAAGCUCUUUCGGCAGGAACGAAACGGUAAGGGCUAAUAUCCUUUGCUAAUGACGGUACCUGAAGAAGAAGCACCGGCUAACUACGU